rnacentral:rRNA from 1 species
UACGGGGGGGGCAAGCGUUGUUCGGAAUUACUGGGCGUAAAGGGCUUGUAGGUGGCCAACUAAGUCAGACGUGAAAUCCCUCGGCUUAACCGGGGAACUGCGUCUGAUACUGGAUGGCUGGAGUGUGGGAGAGGGAUGCGGAAUUCCAGGUGUAGCGGUGAAAUGCGUAGAUAUCAGGAAGAACACCGGUGGCGAAAGCGCUCUGCUGGACCUUAACUGACACUGAGGGACGAAAGCUAGGGGAGCGAAUGGG